rnacentral:pre_miRNA from 1 species
UAUUAGGUUGGUGCAAAAGUAAUCGCAGUUUUUGCCAUUACUUUCAGUGGCAAAAACUGCGAUUACUUUUGCACCAACCUAAUA